rnacentral:rRNA from 1 species
GUAGGUGGCAAGCGUUGUCCGGAAUUAUUGGGCGUAAAGCGCGCGCAGGCGGUUCUUUAAGUCUGAUGUGAAAGCCCACGGCUCAACCGUGGAGGGUCAUUGGAAACUGGAGGACUUGAGUACAGAAGAGGAAAGCGGAAUUCCACGUGUAGCGGUGAAAUGCGUAGAGAUGUGGAGGAACACCAGUGGCGAAGGCGGCUUUCUGGUCUGUAACUGACGCUGAGGCGCGAAAGCGUGGGGAGCAAACAGGGAUUAGAUACCCUGGUAGUCCACGCCGUAAACGAUGAGUGCUAAGUGUUAGGGGGGUUUCCGCCCCCUUAGUGCUGCAGCUAACGCAUUAAGCACUCCGCCCUGGGGAGUACGGCCGCAAGGCUG